GAUGAACGCUGGCGGCGUGCCUAAUACAUGCAAGUCGAGCGAACGGACGAGACGCUUGCUUCUCUGAUGUUAGCGGCGGACGGGUGAGUAACACGUGGAUAACCUACCUAUAAGACUGGGAUAACUUCGGGAAACCGGAGCUAAUACCGGAUGAUAUUUUGAACCGCAUGGUUCAAAAGUGAAAGACGGUCUUGCUGUCCCUUAUAGAUGGAUCCGCGCUGCAUUAGCUAGUUGGUAAGGUAACGGCUUACCAAGGCAACGAUGCAUAGCCGACCUGAGAGGGUGAUCGGCCACACUGGAACUGAGACACGGUCCAGACUCCUACGGGAGGCAGCAGUAGGGAAUCUUCCGCAAUGGGCGAAAGCCUGACGGAGCAACGCCGCGUGAGUGAUGAAGGUCUUCGGAUCGUAAAACUCUGUUAGUAGGGAAGAACAUAUGUGUAAGUAACUGUGCACAUCUUGACGGUACCUAAUCAGAAAGCCACGGCUAACUACGUG
rnacentral:rRNA from 1 species